UCGUUUCCACUAUAAGGAAAAGAAGUUAUCCCUCAUAUAAGUAAUUACGCACUGAAAGCUCAUCUCAGUUGCUGGAUAAAGCGUUCGGGAACCUGUUCACGUGAAGAUGUUUCGUCUGGUUUUGUUGCUGGUAGCUAUUGGUAAAUUGGCAUGGUGUGACUCACCUCCGCCCUAUCCACCAAAUCUAGACCGAUGUGCAUCUGUCUUCUGUGUCGGUGUCAACAGAGAAGAUUGCCCGGGCGAGUAUCUCGACUACCACCCACCAGAGCGCUGCUGUAGUGUGUGCACCGUGUAUAAAGGUUUGAAUGAGUCAUGUGCGCGUAAUCAAUUCCCGAUCACUGUAAAAUGCAGGAGUCCCUAUAUCUGCAAGAACGACAUUUGCGUGGAAUGAAGAAAUGCAGGCCGGCGAAUGCUAGGAAGUCAUCACAAUGUUUGUAACAAAAUAAUAGUAAUAAAAAAUGUAUGACUGUGUGUAGGAUUAUUACAGCAUUUCAAGCAGGUCAUUUGAAAGAAUAAAAUGAUUUCAACGAAA